rnacentral:rRNA from 1 species
GGACUACAGGGGUUUCUAAUCCUGUUUGCUCCCCACGCUCUCGCGCCUCAGCGUCAGUGUCAGCCCAGGUGGCCGCCUUCGCCACUGGUGUUCCUUCCGAUCUCUACGCAUUUCACCGCUACACCGGAAAUUCCGCCACCCUCUACUGUACUCCAGCCAUCCAGUUCUAAAUGCCAUUCCUAGGUUAAGCCCAGGGGUUUCACAUCUAGCUUAAAUGACCGCCUACGCGCCCUUUACGCCCAGUAACUCCGAUUAACGCUCGCACCCUCUGUAUUACCGCGGCUGCUGGCAC